GACUGCGGAGGAUCAUUAAGAGACGUUGCCCUUCGGGGUAUACCUCCCACCCAUUGUUUAUUAUACCUUUGUUGCUUUGGCAGACCCGGCUUCGGCCCACCGGCUCCGGCUGGUCAGUGUCUGCCAGAGGACCUAAAACUCUGUUUGUUAAUAUUGUCUGAGUACUAUAUAAUAGUUAAAACUUUCAACAACGGAUCUCUUGGUUCUGGCAUCGAUGAAGAACGCAGCGAAAUGCGAUAGGUAAUGUGAAUUGCAGAAUUCAGUGAAUCAUCGAAUCUUUGAACGCACAUUGCGCCCUCUGGUAUUCCGGGGGGCAUGCCUGUUCGAGCGUCAUUACAACCCUCAAGCUUUGCUUGGUAUUGGACAUUGCCAGUUUCUGGCAGGUCUUAAAAUCAGUGGCGGUGCCAUUUGGCUUCAAGCGUAGUAAUUCUUCUCGCUUUGGAGAUCCAAGUGGUUACUUGCCAAUAACCCCCAAUUUUUUCAGGUUGACCUCGGAUCAGGUAGGGAUACCCGCUGAACUUAAGCAUAUCAAUAAGCGGAGGA
rnacentral:rRNA from 1 species